ACGAACGCUGGCGGCGUGCCUAAUACAUGCAAGUAGCACGCUGAAGGAGGAGCUUGCUUCUCUGGAUGAGUUGCGAACGGGUGAGUAACGCGUAGGUAACCUGCCUGGUAGCGGGGGAUAACUAUUGGAAACGAUAGCUAAUACCGCAUAAUAGCAGUUGUUGCAUGACAACUGUUUGAAAGGUGCAAUUGCACCACUACCAGAUGGACCUGCGUUGUAUUAGCUAGUUGGUGGGGUAACGGCUCACCAAGGCGACGAUACAUAGCCGACCUGAGAGGGUGAUCGGCCACACUGGGACUGAGACACGGCCCAGACUCCUACGGGAGGCAGCAGUAGGGAAUCUUCGGCAAUGGACGGAAGUCUGACCGAGCAACGCCGCGUGAGUGAAGAAGGUUUUCGGAUCGUAAAGCUCUGUUGUAAGAGAAGAACGAGUGUGAGAGUGGAAAGUUCACACUGUGACGGUAUCUUACCAGAAAGGGACGGCUAACUACGUG
rnacentral:rRNA from 1 species